UGCCUCUCAUUUGUAUUGUUGGUGGGCCUAAUUCCAAUGAUUAUGGGACCAACAGGAUUUUGCAUCAUACUAUUGGAGUGCCAGAUUUUAGUCAGGAACUUAGAUGUUUUCAAACUGUUACUUGCACUCAGGUAUGUUCAUGUAUAUUCCCUGCAUGUAUGUUCGUUUUACUAUUGUACCUUGUGUUGCAAAGUUUGCACACAUCAGUGUGUAGAAGUUAGAUUCAAUCACAUUAAUUUUACUUAUAUCCACUGAUUGUGUGAUGAAAUCUUUUUACGCUAUCAGCCUAAUUUAACCUCCUAUAGAGAUUACUUGCCUUAAUUUUAAAUUUUCAGGUUAUUAGUUUCACUUUUAUAUGUAAUUAUAUGAAGAAAAAAAAUAAAGACAUUCAAUGUAUAGUGUUUAACUCUGAUCACAUGUAGUAUGUGCUUAAUAGCCUUAAUCCUUGAGUAGAGACACCUGUUCGCACUUCCACAACAACAACCCAGUAAAAUUCCACAAGUGGGGUUUGGGGAGGAUAGUGUGUACGUAGACCUUACCCACCCCGAGGGAGUAGAGAGGUUGUUCGCACUUCCACCUAAAAACUAGUUGUUUAGGUCUUCUACAUUGGUUUAGGUAAUUUUGCUUAACUAUAGUAGUUGAACAUAUGUAUUUGGAGAUGUCCAAUGCAUUUGAUUUAUGUGACUAAGUUUUGAAUUUUGCAUUUGAUGUUUGUUGAAAGUGAUCAAGUUGGUAUAACGUAACAGGCAGUGGUGAAUAACUUGGAUGAUGCACAUGAAUUGAUUGAUACUGCAAUUUCAACUGCUUUGAAGGAGAGCAAGCCAGCUUACAUUAGCAUAAGCUGCAAUUUGCCUGGAGUUCCUCACCCUACCUUUGCUAGAGAACCUGUUCCAUUCUUUCUUGCUCCAAAGUAUGUUCUCUCUUAUUCCCUUUUAGCGAAACAAUCGAUGGUCUAUUACGCUGUUUUAUUAAGAUGAAAUGCAUUUGCAGGGCCAGCAAUCAACUCGGGUUAGAAGCAGCAGUCGAAGCAGCAGCUGAGUUCUUGAACAAGUCUGUAAAACCAGUUAUUGUCGGAGGUCCAAAAGUAAGAGUGGCAAAGGCACAGCAUGCAUUUGUGGAACUUGCUAAUGCCUGUGGCUAUCCAAUAGCCGUAAUGCCAUCUGGCAAAGGACUUGUGCCAGAGCACCACCCUAAUUUCAUUGGUACUUACUGGGGAGCAGUGAGCUCUAGUUUCUGUGGGGAGAUUGUUGAAUCUGCGGAUGCUUAUGUUUUUGUUGGCCCCAUCUUCAAUGAUUACAGCUCUGUUGGAUACUCGUUGCUGAUUAAAAAGGAGAAGUUGAUCGUUGUUGAACCUAAUCGUGUGACAAUUGGAAAUGGCCCCUCCUUCGGUUGGGUUUUCAUGACUGAUUUCUUGAGUGCAUUGGCGAAAAAGCUUAAGAAGAAUAGCACUGCUUUGGAGAAUUAUCAUCGAAUUUAUGUCCCUCCAGGUGUUGCCUUAAAACGCGAGAAGGAUGAACCGCUUCGAGUCAAUAUACUCUUCAAGCACAUUCAGGUAAAUAUGAAUUGUGAUUAACACAGAGCACUUUAGAACUGAAGUGUAAAUUCCAUUAUCAAUUAACAGUAUAAGAGAUUUCAUGACGCUACAUACAAUAGAAUGAAAGAGGAAUCCUUAUAUUCCCUGGAGGUUUUAAUUUGUUCCCAUUGCUUUUUCGUUCAUAGGAAAUGCUUAGUGGCAACACUGCGGUGAUUGCAGAAACAGGGGAUUCAUGGUUUAAUUGUCAGAAGCUGCAUCUUCCUGAAAACUGUGGGUAAGCUAGACUCGACUUUAUUCUAAAUUGUGCUUGUGGGGGAGCAAAUUGAAAAUUUUUAAUGGAAAAAUAAGAUCAACUUGGUGUCAUAUCAAUCUCAAAAACAGUUGAUGAAGUUUGAUUGUACCUGUCCCUUUUCUUUGUAAUAAGCUUCCCUUUUUGUUAAGAUAAGUUUAUUUCAAUACUUGCAGGUUUGAAUUCCAGAUGCAAUAUGGAUCCAUUGGAUGGUCAGUAGGUGCCACUCUUGGCUAUGCUCAAGCUGCUAAAGACAAACGUAUCAUUGCGUGCAUCGGUGAUGGAAGCUUCCAGGUCAGUGUUCAUAUUAAUUGUGAGAUCAAAUUCUCGACUGUUGUCAUUUUCCUUCUACUCAAGAUGCGUAGCAUGCAUAACAUAGAGAGAAAUAAUUACAAUUGUUACUUCAGCUUCUAGCACAGAGUUUCUUUUACUGGAGAGAAUGUUAGUUUAUGUUUUUCUUAUAUGAUCUCCAUUUGACUCUUAUUGUUUUCAUGAUGUGAAUUGUAGAAACAUAAUUGAUAAAGCUCCAACUAUUUUCUGCUGUAUAGGUUACUGCUCAAGAUAUAUCAACAAUGAUAAGAUGUGCACAGAAAAGCAUUAUAUUUCUCAUCAACAAUGGCGGUUAUACCAUUGAAGUAGAGAUUCAUGAUGGCCCAUAUAACGUGAUCAAGAAUUGGGACUACACUGGUCUUGUGAAUGCUAUCCACAAUGGUGAAGGCAAGUGUUGGACUGCAAAGGUCAGUAUUUCUGAACACAUUGUAACAUCUUCCACUAUUGCAAUUCGAACAGUUCUCUGUGUGACAUGCACCUCAGAAAUUGAUGGGAUAAGUGAUUGCAGGUAAAGACGGAAGAGGACCUGACCGAGGCAAUAGCAACAGCAACAAGCACACACAAAGACUCCUUGUGUUUCAUAGAAGUCUUUGUGCACAAGGAUGAUACUAGCAAAGAGCUUCUGGAAUGGGGAUCACGUGUUUCUGCAGCAAAUAGUCGUCCUCCUAAUCCUCAGUAGCAAGUUAUCGCUGUCCAGAGUAAUAUACCAGAUGAAAAAUAUGGAUUUCGGUGAGCAGCUGCCCAUGGGAAAAGGCUUAAGAGUUUGAAUGUUUUUCUCAGAUAGUUAUGUCAUGCUUUUGUAUUCUAACCCAGAAUUGUCAUCGUCCAUAAAAUGAACCAUAAAUGUCCUAUCCUGUUUCAGUUUGUACAAAAUAAGAAAAACCAACUUCUGUAGCUUCUCAACACUAUGAAAU
rnacentral:lncRNA from 1 species